rnacentral:rRNA from 1 species
CCUACGGGGUGCAGCAGUGAGGAAUAUUGGUCAAUGGACGAGAGUCUGAACCAGCCAAGUAGCGUGAAGGAUGACUGCCCUAUGGGUUGUAAACUUCUUUUAUAUGGGAAUAAAAUGUUCCACGUGUGGGAUUUUGUAUGUACCAUAUGAAUAAGGAUCGGCUAACUCCGUGCCAGCAGCCGCGGUAAUACGGAGGAUCCGAGCGUUAUCCGGAUUUAUUGGGUUUAAAGGGAGCGUAGGUGGAUUGUUAAGUCAGUUGUGAAAGUUUGCGGCUCAACCGUAGAAUUGCAGUUGAAACUGGCAGUCUUGAGUACAGUAGAGGUGGGCGGAAUUCGUGGUGUAGCGGUGAAAUGCUUAGAUAUCACGAAGAACUCCGAUUGCGAAGGCAGUUCACUGGACUGCAACUGACACUGAGGCUCGAAAGUGUGGGUAUCAAACAGGAUUAGAUACCCUUGUAGUC